rnacentral:rRNA from 1 species
GGGGGAGCACCACAACNGGUGGAGCNUGCGGUUUAAUNGGAUUCAACGCCGGNAAUCUCACCGGGAUAAGACAGCANUAUGAAUGAGCUCGGGAUGAAGACUUUACUNGANUAGCUGAGAGGAGGUGCAUGGCCGUCGUCAGUUCGUACUGUGAAGCAUCCUGUUNAGUCAGGCAACGAGCGAGACCCACGCCCGCAGUUGCCAGCGUANNCCUUCGGGNUGAUGGGNACACUGNUGGGACCGCCUCUGCUAAAGGGGAGGAAGGAAUGGGCAACGGUAGGUCAGYAUGCCCCGAAUAUUCCGGGCUACACGCGGGCUACAAUGGAUAGGACAAUGGGUUUCUACACCGAAAGGUGANGNCAAUCUCCUAAACCCUAUUCGWAGUUCGGAUUGAGGGGUUGUAACUCRCCCUCAUGAAGCUGGAAUCCNGUAGUAAUCGCG